rnacentral:rRNA from 1 species
UACGUAGGGUGCGAGCGUUGUCCGGAAUUAUUGGGCGUAAAGAGCUCGUAGGCGGCUUGUCGCGUCGGAUGUGAAAGCCCGGGGCUUAACUCCGGGUCUGCAUUCGAUACGGGCAGGCUAGAGUUCGGUAGGGGUAAGCGGAAUUCCUGGUGUAGCGGUGAAAUGCGCAGAUAUCAGGAAGAACACCGACGGCGAAGGCAGCUUACUGGGCCGAUACUGACGCUGAGGAGCGAAAGCGUGGGGAGCGAACAGG